GAACGCUAGCUACAGGCUUAACACAUGCAAGUCGAGGGGCAGCAUGGUCGAAGCUUGCUUCGACUGAUGGCGACCGGCGCACGGGUGCGUAACGCGUAUCGAACCUGCCCUAUACACGGGGAUAGCCUUGCGAAAGUAAGAUUAAUACCCGAUGCCAAGUUGAGAUCGCAUGAUUUUGAUUUGAAAGAAAUUCGGUAUAGGAUGGCGAUGCGUCUGAUUAGGUAGAUGGCGGGGUAACGGCCCACCAUGCCGACGAUCAGUAGGGGUUCUGAGAGGAAGGUCCCCCACAUUGGAACUGAGACACGGUCCAAACUCCUACGGGAGGCAGCAGUGAGGAAUAUUGGUCAAUGGUCGCGAGACUGAACCAGCCAAGUAGCGUGCAGGAUGACGGCCCUCUGGGUUGUAAACUGCUUUUAGUUAGGAAUAAAAGGCGGUACGUGUACCGCGUAUUGUAUGUACCAUCAGAAAAAGGACCGGCUAAUUCCGUG
rnacentral:rRNA from 1 species